CGGUAUUUUGACCGUGCGAAGGUAGCGCAAUCACUUGUCUUUUAAAUGGAGACCCGUAUGAAUGGCAUAACGAGGGCUUAACUGUCUCCUCUUUCAAGUCAAUGAAAUUGAUCUCCCCGUGCAGAAGCGGGGAUACAAACAUAAGACGAGAAGACCCUAUGGAGCUUUAGACACUAACGCAGCCCACGUUAAACACCCCCGGAUAAAGGGUUAAACCGCAGUGCGCCCUGCCCUAAUGUCUUUGGUUGGGGCGACCGCGGGGAAUUAAAGAACCCCCACGUGGACCGGGAACACUUUUCCUACAACUAAGAGCCACAGCUCUAGAAAACAGAACUUCUGACCAGUAAGAUCCGGCAAUGCCGAUCAACGGACCUAGUUACCCUAGGGAUAACAGCGCAAUCCCCUUUUAGAGCCCAUAUCGACAAGGGGGUUUACGACCUCGAUGUUGGAUCAGGACAUCCUAAU
rnacentral:rRNA from 1 species